AUGUCCACCAAUGAGAAUGCUAAUUCACCAGCUGCCCGACUUAACAGGUUCAAGAACAAGGGAAAAGGCAGUACAGAAAUGAGGCGACGCCAAAUAGAAGUUAAUGCGGAGUUGAGGAAAGCUAAGAAAGAUGACCAGAUGCUGAAAAGGAGAAAUGUAAGCUCGUUUCCUGAUGAUGCUACUUCUCCACUGCAGGAAAACCGAAACAACCAGGGAACUGUAAAUUGGUCCGUGGAUGACACUGUCAAAGGUAUAAAUAGCACCAAUAUGGAAAACCAGCUCCAAGCUACUCAAGCUGCCAGGAAACUACUUUCUAGAGAAAAACAGCCUCCCAUCGACAAUAGAAUCCGAGCUGGUUUGAUCCCCAAAUUUGUGUCCUUCUUGGGUAGAACUGAUUGUAGUCCCAUUCAGUUUGAAUCUGCUUGGGCACUAACAUGCUCUGGGACAUCAGAACAGACUAAGGCUGUGGUAGAUGGUGGUGCUAUCCCAGCAUUCAUUUCUCUGUUGGCAUCUCCCCAGCUCGUAUCAGUGAGCAAGCUGUGUGGGCUCUAGGAAACAUUGCAGGUGAUGGUUCAGUUUUCUGAGACUUGGUUAUUAAGUAUGAUGCAGUUGACCCACUUUUGGCUCUUCUAGCUAUUCCUGAUAUGUCAUCUUUAUCAUGUGGUUACUUACGUAAUCUUCCCUGGACACUUUCAAACCUUUGUCGCAACAAGAAUCCUGCACCCCCAUUAGAUGCUGUGGAACAGAUCCUUCCUACUUCAGUGCGUCUCCUGCAUCACAAUGAUCCAGAGGUAUUAGCAGAUACCUGCUGGGCUAUUUGCUACCUUACUGAUGGCCCAAAUGAACGGAUUGAAAUGGUUGUGAAAACAGGAGUUUUGCCCCAACUUGUGAAGCUUUUGGGAACUACCGAAUUGCCAAUUGUGACUCCUGGACUAAAAGCCAUAGGGAAUAUUGUCACUGGGACAGACUCAGGUUGUAAUUGAUGCAGGAGCACUUACUGUCUUUCCCAGCCUGCUGACCAACCCCAAAACUAACAUUCAAAAGGAAGCUACAUGGACAAUGUCAAACAUCACAGCUGGCCGUCAGGACCAGAUACAGCAAGUUGUGAAUCGUGGACUAGUCCCAUUACUUGUUGGUGUUCUCUCUAAGGCAGACUUUAAGACACAAAAGGAAGCUGUAUGGGCUGUGACCAACUAUACAAGUGGUGGAACAGUAGAACAGAUUGUAUACCUCGUUCAUUGUGGCAUAAUAGAACCGCUGAUGAACCUCUUAACUGCAAAAAAUACCAAAAUUAUUCUGGUUAUUCUGGAUGCCAUUUCAAAUAUCUUUCAGGCUGCUGAAAAACUGGGUGAAACUGAGAAACUUAGUUGAUGAUUGAAGAAUGUGGAGGUUUGGACAAAGUUGAAGCUCUAUAAAACCAUGAAAAUGAGUCUGUGUACAAGGCUUCAUUAAACUUGAUUGAGAAGUAUUUCUCUGUAGAGAAGAGGAGGAUCAAAAUGUAGUCCCAGAAACUACCUCUGAAGGCUGUACCUUCCAAGUUCAGGGUGGGACUCCUGGGCCUUUUAACUUUAAGAUUGUAUAG